CUUUUAUGGCAGAAAGGAACAACCGUGGAAUUUCGAACUACAGCUGUGUAUCCUGCUCAUCAUAAGCUAGGAAAGCAUAAGCAUACCAUAAGCUAGGAAAGUCAGAGUUCAUGCAAGAGCAGGACUUCUGCCCAGGUGCUGAUAGGAACACUUUUUUUUUGGAACUUCGCAUUUGAAAUAUAGUUCAGUUGCAUAUGUGAACAGAAGUUGCAUAAUACCUAGAGUAAUGUAUAUGAGAGUUAAGUAUUUGGAGACAAGUUUUCAAAACGUUUUCAAAAAUGGAAGAAAUAAAUAUGUGUUUAUAUUCUUUAAUACUAGGGACCUUUUAAGGUGCAGCAGCAUUUGAUCUGAAUUGUCAGCUCAUGGAUACUUAGUAAUUGCAGAUGAGUUUCCUCUCCUGUCCUUUUUGUUCACUGGUACCUUAAACUCCCCUACUUCAGUCAGUCACAAUCAUGAUCUAAUUGUGAUCUCUCUUGCUGUUUCCCUACAGUUGUAAGAAAUUCUCUUGUGUGCUGAAGAGAGAUGCCCCAGUCUGAGGAUGCUCAGCCAUGCUUCUAUCCAGGAGGUACUACUGAAAGAAAGAAGUGGCUCUUUGAACAGCAAGAUGGAGAAUCUUAUGCAUUUUAUGGAAAUAGCACAGCUAUGACUUGCCAUCAGUUCAGCCAGCAGUCAAGCAAAGAAUGGAGCUCAGUUUUGCAAAGUCUGUCCAGGAAUAUAUCUACUAGAUUGCUUUACCCCUGAAUGAGAAGUUUGCCUUCAUUUUCUUACUAAGAUUUGGUCUGGAACCAACUAGCAACUGCAGCAGUUUCUGGUAGGUAAUAUUUUUGACUAGAUUAGAGUCAAUGACUUACAAAUGAGAACCUUUUUAUUCCAUAAUAGAACAAAAGGCAUUAUUUCCUGGGAAACACAAUCUGUGCAUUUAUCUAUUUAGUGUGUUUACUUGGAUUUUAUAUUUAGAUAAAAGAGGCAUUUCAAUUUUAUAGUGUAUCUACAGCAUGGUAUGUUGAAUUCUCAAAAUUUAAUCAUGUACUAGUUAUGCUUUGUGUCUGGUUAAAGAUGAUAGAUUUUAAUAGUUUAGUAUUGAAGGUCAAAGAUUAAGUCACUAUUGGCAGUUUCUUGGCACCAUAAGAC
rnacentral:lncRNA from 1 species